AGUGGUGGCUGUUAGUCAUAUUCCUGGUUCAAUACAGGAAGUAGAUGUGUUCGCCAAAGCACUCCCCAAUGCUUCAUUCCUGCAAUUUCGAUCAAUGCUGAAUGUAAGAGAGAACGGGCCAAGCAGUGAAGAAGGAAGACUGAAGUUAGAAGAGCCAGAAAACGGGAACCAUUAGAAGAUGAAUGU